GUGGCGUUCGCCGAGGAGUUCGCCGCCGGGGCGCCCGGCCUCGGUCUGGAGGGCGAGGACCCGUGGCGCGGGCCCGUGUCGCUGCGC
rnacentral:tRNA from 1 species